UGGAAGGGCCAUCGCUCAACGGAUAAAAGGUACUCCGGGGAUAACAGGCUGAUACCGCCCAAGAGUUCAUAUCGACGGCGGUGUUUGGCACCUCGAUGUCGGCUCAUCACAUCCUGGGGCUGAAGUCGGUCCCAAGGGUAUGGCUGUUCGCCAUUUAAAGUGGUACGCGAGCUGGGUUUAGAACGUCGUGAGACAGUUCGGUCCCUAUCUGCCGUGGACGUUGGAGAUUUGAGGAAAGCUGCUCCUAGUACGAGAGGACCGGAGUGGACGAACCUCUGGUGUUCGGGUUGUGACGCCAGUCGCAUUGCCCGGUAGCUAUGUUCGGACAGGAUAACCGCUGAAAGCAUCUAAGCGGGAAGCCCCUUCCAAGAUGAGAUCUCCCUGGACCCUCGAGGUCCCUGAAGAGCCGUUCAAGACCAGGACGUUGAUAGGUCGGGUGUGUAAGCGCUGCGAGGCGUUGAGCUAACCGAUACUAAUUGCUCGUGCGGCUUGAC
rnacentral:rRNA from 1 species